GGGAGGAAAAGAAACUAACAAGGAUUUCCUUAGUAGCGGCGAGCGAAAAGGAAAGAGUUCAGCACUAAGUCACUUUGUCUUUAUGGCAAAUGUGAGAUGCAGUGUAUGGAGUGUUCAAUUUCUAGUAUGAGAAAUUAACGAUUUAAGUCCUUCUUAAAUGAGGCCAUUUACCCAUAGAGGGUGCCAGGCCCGUAUAACGUUAAUGAUUACUAGAGAACAUUUCCAAAGAGUCGUGUUGCUUGAUAGUGCAGCACUAAGUGGGUGGUAAACUCCAUCUAAAACUAAAUAUAACCAUGAGACCGAUAGUAAACAAGUACCGUGAGGGAAAGUUGAAAAGAACUCUGAAUAGAGAGUUAAAAAGUACGUGAAACUGCUUAGAGGUUAAGCCCGAUGAACCUGAAUAUCCAUUAUGGAAAAUUCAUCGUUACGAUUGCUAUAUGAAUAAUAUAGUGAGAAUGGCGUGCAUUUUUUCCAUAUAAGGACAUUGUAAUCUAUUAACAUACACAAUUUAUCAUAAGAUCGAUGGCGAAAGUUUAUUCAAAUUAGUAUGCUUGCGUAUUAACAUAGAAUAAGUGCUGUCGAUUGGAUAAAGUGUUGAUAGAUCUAUUAUAUAUAGCGCUUGAAUACUUGUAUUCUAUAAUGGCACAUUAAUCUUGAUUUUUGUGUUUAUUAUAUGCGCUUAUAUGAUUUACAAUGCGAAAGAUUCAGGAUACCUUCGGGACCCGUCUUGAAACACGGACCAAGGAGUCUAACAUAUUUGCAAGUUAUUGGGAAUUUAAACCUAAUAGCGAAAUUAACAUAACUUUUAUGGGAUUAGUUUUUAGUCUAUUUAUAGUCUAUUAAUUCAAUCCCGGGGCGUUCUAUCAGUUAUGCAUAAUAAUAUUUAUAUUAUUUAUGCCUCUAACCAGAGCGUACCUUGAGCAUAUAUGCUGUGACCCGAAAGAUGGUGAACUAUACUUGAUCAGGUUGAAGUCAGGGGAAACCCUGAUGGAAGACCGAAACAG
rnacentral:rRNA from 1 species